rnacentral:lncRNA from 1 species
UUUCACUCUUAAACUGGUGUUGAAAGCUGCUGGUAUGACUUGACAGAAAAAUGUAACCAACAUCUUAGCUAAAACUAAAAGUUAGGAAAUAGCCUCAAAGACUCCUCAAAUAUCUUCUGUAACAGGGUUGGUCUGAAGCGGUUCAUUCUUCAAGAUGUUCUGUGAGUGCUCAACUUUAAAAAUUACUCCAGAGACAAAAUUAUGCCACAUGUUGCAGAAGCAUUAUAAAUACAAAAGCCUGGGGAGUGAAGAAUGCUACACAAAGAACCAAGCAGGAAUUUGACAUUCUGCUAUGUAAAAAGGCUGAAAACCAGCUCUGCACUUCAUCUCAGUACAUGUCCUGCUCUGGAAACAAAGGGAUCAGCUAAGCCUGUGAGUUUAAGAAUUGAUACUCUUUCUCAAUUUUGUAAAGCAAAAUUUGAUUUUAAAAGAAAAAAAGAUUUGUUUUUGUGUGUGUGUGUGUGUGUGUGUUUUUUAAGAGGAAUACUACCAGUAUGGGUUCUUGUGCUUAUGUAGGAGCAAAAAUAGUCUUUAAAAUGCUGAUGUGGUGCCAAAUUUCC